rnacentral:lncRNA from 1 species
AACACACGAAACCCGGGAGAAUCUGCUUAGCUCCUGUUUGGGUUGUACGCCUUCUGAUCCGCAGCCUACCAGUCAAUCUGACCUGCUGAUUGAUAAGGAUAGGUAAAACGUCAAAUAUGAGAGCAAAUCGCCUGGUGUUCCGAAUCGCUCCACAGGAUGUAUCGGCAGGACAACCGACACGGGCGAAGGACAAUCGGCUAGAUCAGUCGAUGUGGUUGUAGUAGAUGCAAAGGAAGCGUAAAACACAACCUAAACAGUACUAUGCGAACAACAUUCGAAACAGAUCUAAUCGGCUGUGUGACAGUAGAUUGAUAAGAAAAAUAAGGUAAAAGCUGACCAGAACAUGUUUCGAGUUGGAUAACUGUGAUAAAUGCUAAAACAACAAGAUUUAACGAAUAAAGCUUGCAGAUCUAGCAAAUAUCGAUAACUUUGAAUAAAUCUAGACGAAACAACAGCGAUGCGCCCCGAAGUUAAAGCCUAGGAAGUAUUCGGUAAACACGGAACUUACAGUCUAGCUGGAGAUUGAAGCGAUGCAGCCCAACUAACUUGAAAGAACUCGUGAAGAAAAGAAAACAAUGGCAAAGUCGCCAACUUGAAAGUAAAUUUCGAAGAAUAGUAGAUUUGUAUUGAUUAUGAUGUGUAUGUCCUUCCAGACCAUGCAGGGCCUCUAUUUAUACCCUAAACAUCAAGAUUCGUAGUCCUAGUCGAUUACGACAAAACAUAAGAUCUAUCUCUAAAGAAACAAACUUUCUAAACAAAACAAAAUAAAAACGACUGGUACGAGAGUUGAAAACAAACUUGGCCUCCAUCGGCUAAAAUCCUGCUCUUCAUCGGCCGAACCUCCAACAUCUCCAAUUGGCUGGAAUCCUUCUGCUGGCAUCGGCUAACCCAUCAGCUAUGCCCCUGUCAUCCUCCAUUGGCUAGGCCUCUGUCUUCCUCUAUCGGCAAGGCUUUCACCAUCAUCGGCCGAUCUCUCAUAGCUUCAUCGGCUGAGCCCUUUGCAACCCUAUCGGCCGAUUCCAUUAGCCGUUGUAUUUCCGCUAUGCAUCGGCAUCUCUGCUUCCUUUUAACGCCAUCUUUGACAUAUGUCAAAAAAUGGUGUCAACACAUGCCCCCUAGUUUCGAAGUGAAACAUAUCUUUUGCUCCGAAAUUGUCUCAACCAUGAUUUUCACCUUCCUUGGAAAACGCUGAUGCUUACCAAUCACCAAGUAACAAGAUCUUUUCUGUUCCAAAAUCUCCUCAGUCAUGAUUGCCUGAAAAAGCAUCUAGGGGUAACAGCUCUUCUGGUUUCGCACAGGUAGCGAAUGAGAUACCACAUUUACCCUUUUGGGUGAGUUUAUAAAUUUACAGCCGUCAUCUUCUUCUUCCCCACCAGUUCAUCUUCUCGUACCGCCACACCUUGCCUCCACUUUCCUCUGAGCGAAAGGCAACCUUCAACGACUCCCGGCGACCAUCAGCAGUCUCCAGUGACCAUCGGUGAUUCAUUUGCUAAUCACUUCAAACUCCAAAACUCAGGCAACCAGCAACAUGGCCACUCUUACCACCAUCCCCGAGGUACACCUCUCUACCUUCAUCAUUUUCCUCGUGCUUCUAUCUCCCUUUCCUUACAUAGCCAUUUUUGCAUUUCUCAAGAGCUUAGACACAGAAUCACC